GGCAGCCGACUCGGGGUCGGGCUGCGGAGCCGAAGAUAUCCGACUCGGAGUCGGGUUACUGGAUCAAGGGGCAGCCGACUCGGGGUCGGGCUGCGAGGCCAAAGAUAUCCGACUCGGGGUCGGGUUACUGGAUCAAGGGGCAGCCGACUCAGGGUCGGGCUGCGAGGCCGAAGAUAUCCGACUCGGGGUCGGGUUACUGGAUCAAGGGGCAGCUGUAAUCUUCUAGGGCGCGCGUGCCGGUCACGUGGGGCAUGGUGGCUGAGUUCCCCCGUAACAAGGUUAAUUUUUAAUUAAGCACAAAUUUAAUCUAAUUUAAUUUGGUCAACCUAAGUCCUCUUGAUUCAGACAUAAUCCAAUCAAGUCAAAAAUCCUGAUUGAGCCCAAAGUUGAAUCCAAUUCAAUUUGGUUCAUCCUCAGUCUAAUUACUCAAUCAAAUUGAGUUUACUAGUAAUCUAAUUACUAAUUAAUUCUCCAAUAAUUAAUUUAAUUAUUUUAUAAGAUAA
rnacentral:lncRNA from 1 species